rnacentral:rRNA from 1 species
GAUGAACGCUGGCGGCGUGCCUAAUACAUGCAAGUCGAGCGAACAGACCCGGAGCUUGCUACUCUGACGUUAACGGCGGAAGGAAGAGUAACACAUGGAUAACUUACCUAUAAGACUGGGAUAACUUCGGGAAACCGGUGCUAAUACCGGAUAAUAUCUUCAACCGCAUGGUUCAAUAGUGAAAGACGGUUUUGCUGUCCCUUAUAGAUGGAUCCGCGCCGCAUUAGCUAUGUGGUAAGGUAACGGCUUACCAAGGCCACGAUGCGUAGCCGACCUGAGAAGGUGUUGCGCCACUCUGAGACUGAGACGCGGUACAGGCACCUAGGGGAGGCACAGGUAGGGACGCGUCCGCGAAGGGCGGAAGAUUGACGGAUCGGCGCCGCGUGAAUGAUGAAGGGCUGCGGGUCGGAUGACUCUGUUAUUGGGGAAGAACAAAUGUGUAAGUAACUAUGCUCGUGGUGACGGUACCUGAUCAGGAAGCAACGGCUAACUACGUG